rnacentral:rRNA from 1 species
AGCAACCGGGUUUCCUACCCGACUGCAUGAUUGUUGCUGACAUGUGUAGCGUAGGUGGGAGGCUUUGAAGUCCCGGCGUCAGCUGGGAUGGAGCCAUCAGUGAAAUACCACCCUUGUUUUGUCGAGAGUUCUAACCCCGUCCCUUGAAUCAGGGCGCGGGACAGUGGCAGGUGGGCAGUUUGACUGGGGCGGUCGCCUCCCAAAAUGUAACGGAGGCGCCCAAAGGUUCCCUCAGCCCGGUCGGUAAUCGGGCAUUGAGUGUAAGGGCACAAGGGAGCCUGACUGUGAGGCCGACAGGCCGAACAGAGCGGAAACGCGGGCCUAGUGAUCCGGUGGUUCUGCGUGGAAAGGCCAUCGCUCAGCGGAUAAAAGGUACUCUAGGGAAAACAGGCUGAA